UACGAAGGGGGCUAGCGUUGCUCGGAAUCACUGGGCGUAAAGGGUGCGUAGGCGGGUCUUUAAGUCAGGGGUGAAAUCCUGGAGCUCAACUCCAGAACUGCCUUUGAUACUGAGGAUCUUGAGUUCGGGAGAGGUGAGUGGAACUGCGAGUGUAGGGGUGAAAUUCGUAGAUAUUCGCAAGAACACCAGUGGCGAAGGCGGCUCACUGGACCGAUACUGACGCUGAGGCACGAAAGCGUGGGGAGCAAACAGG
rnacentral:rRNA from 1 species